rnacentral:rRNA from 1 species
UACGAAGGGUGCAAGCGUUACUCGGAAUUACUGGGCGUAAAGCGUGCGUAGGUGGUUUGUUAAGUCUGAUGUGAGAGCCCUGGGCUCAACCUGGGAAUUGCAUUGGAUACUGGCAGGCUAGAGUGCGGUAGAGGGUAGUGGAAUUCCCGGUGUAGCAGUGAAAUGCGUAGAGAUCGGGAGGAACAUCCGUGGCGAAGGCGACUACCUGGACCAGCACUGACACUGAGGCACGAAAGCGUGGGGAGCAAACAGG